ensembl:lncRNA
CGUGUAUCCCGCUAGCUGAAUAUCCAUGUCGUCACAUUCAGCCACGAUUACGUGAAAUAUUGGAUAUUACAUUUUUUGAUGUCCCGUUGGGAGGAUAUUCGUGAUCGUACCUCGUCUAGUUUAUUGUCCAAUGAUUGCACGUUGGCGAGAAAUAUUGACGGUAACGGCAGCUUUCCAACUCGCCUUCACCGGGUGCUGACCAGACAUCUGGCUCUUUGUCCUCUGUACCUGCAUCACUUCCUCUUGCAAUUAACUGGGAUGACGGCCCUGCAGGGUGUUUGGAGAAUAUCAUGUGAGUCUUGCUUGUUGUUGAAAAAGUCUUUGUGUAAUCCGAGGUGAGUGAUCUCUGUCCUGAUAUCCAGAAGCUCUUAGUCUAAUCCAAGGUGAGUGAUCUCUGUCCUGAUAUCCAGAAGCUCUUAGUCUAAUCCGAGGUGAGUGAUCUCUGUCCUGAUAUCUAGAAGCUCUUAGUCUAAUCCGAGGUGAGUGAUCUCUGUCCUGAUAUCCAGAAGCUCUUUGUCUAAUCCGAGGUGAGUGA